rnacentral:snRNA from 1 species
UUUGUGCAGAGGUGAUUGCAUAGUUAAUGAGGUUCUAAUCAGAGCACAAUUAUUGCUGAUUGAAACCU